AAAAAUUCUCACUGAGGAUGAAAUAAAGAAUGAAAUUGUCAUUAUUUUUCAUCGUUGCAAGAUUUUUUCAAGCACUAAUACAUUCGUGGAUACAUCUAUGGAGCAUUUGAAAAAUAAGCUUGACAAUUCAACUUAUCCAUAUUUCAUGCGUGAGUCGUUAAAUAUUAUUUUUGGUCGUGCAUCAAUUUAUCGAGAAUACUUUUCAAGUCUAUUUGCACACAUGAUCAUCAACAAUAUGUUCCCACUUUCAUUAUUCCAAUCCGAAUUUGAUAAAUUGUUGGAAUUACCAAAAAACCUUUUCAUUGAUUUACCUGUAUUCUGGACUUACCUUGCUGAAAUACUAAAACCAUUAGUAAUUCGUCGUGCUCAUCCAUUGAAUGAAUUAGUACGUACAA